AUUCUUUCUUGAGAAGGAAUUUAUAUUCUCUGGCAAACACAGAACAGAGGUUUGUUAGGAGAGCCUAUCCAUUGAAAAUUGUGUAAAUACUGUCUACUUACAUUUCAUUUGCAAUAUGCCAUCUUGAACUGGGAUUAUAGCAAUGAAGUGCUGGAAGGGCAUUCUUUACAGAGUGAAUAGACUCUGACUUCUACCAUAUUUAGAAAAUUACAUGUGGAAUAUAUUUAUGAUGUAUAUCAAUUGAUAUGCAGCCUACUUUGGGAUCAUCUAGAAUUUUCAAUUUUAAAUGUUAUCACACUAGGAAUAAUUAAUGUUAAAUCACUAACUUUCUAGUUUAAAGCAGAAACAUCUUUAACCAUGUUUAUUGUAAUUUUAAUUAAGUGAUCAACUGUGACAGUUAAAUGUAUACAUUCAGGGACAACAAAUUUUUAGAGUCUAUCUGAAAACAUAUGAGACAUAGAGACAAAUGACCUAAAUCCUAAAAUCAAGCCAUUCGACUCACAGGGAAAAAAAGACAAAAAGAUACUCUCAGAGCCAUUAAAAAUGGUGGCUUAUAUGAAUUUCUU
rnacentral:lncRNA from 1 species